GGCCCGUUGGUCAAGGGGUUAAGACGCAUCCCUUUCACGGAUGAAUCACGAGUUCGAUUCUCGUACGGGCUA
rfam:Sphingobacteriales bacterium 40-81 SCNpilot_expt_1000_bf_scaffold_562, whole genome shotgun sequence.